rnacentral:rRNA from 1 species
GGGUUGUGAGGUUAAGCGACUAAGCGUACACGGUGGAUGCCUAGGCAGUCAGAGGCGAUGAAGGGCGUGCUAAUCUGCGAUAAGCGUCGGUAAGCUGAUAUGAAGCGUUAUACCCGACGAUACCCGAAUGGGGAAACCCAGUGUGUUUCGACACACUAUCAUUACGUGAAUACAUAGCGUAAUGAGGCGAACCGGGGGAACUGAAACAUCUCAGUACCCCGAGGAAAAGAAAUCAACCGAGAUUCCCCUAGUAGCGGCGAGCGAACGGGGAGGAGCCCAGAACCUGAAUCAGUUUGUGUGUUAGUGGAAGCGUCUGGAAAGUCGCACAGUAAAGGGUGAUAGUCCCGUACACAAAAAUGCACAGAUUGUGAGUUCGAUGAGUAGGGCGGGACACGUGACAUCCUGUCUGAAUAUGGGGGGACCAUCCUCCAAGGCUAAAUACUCCUGACUGACCGAUAGUGAACCAGUACCGUGAGGGAAAGGCGAAAAGAACCCCGGCGAGGGGAGUGAAAUAGAACCUGAAACCGUGUACGUACAAGCAGUGGGAGCCUUGAUUAAUCAGGGUGACUGCGUACCUUUUGUAUAAUGGGUCAGCGACUUAUAUUCUGUAGCAAGGUUAACCGUAUAGGGGAGCCGUAGGGAAACCGAGUCUUAACUGGGCGUUAAGUUGCAGGGUAUAGACCCGAAACCCGGUGAUCUAGCCAUGGGCAGGUUGAAGGUUGGGUAACACUAACUGGAGGACCGAACCGACUAAUGUUGAAAAAUUAGCGGAUGACUUGUGGCUGGGGGUGAAAGGCCAAUCAAACCGGGAGAUAGCUGGUUCUCCCCGAAAGCUAUUUAGGUAGCGCCUCGUGAAUUCAUCUUCGGGGGUAGAGCACUGUUUCGGCUAGGGGGUCAUCCCGACUUACCAACCCGAUGCAAACUACGAAUACCGAAGAAUGUUAUCACGGGAGACACACGGCGGGUGCUAACGUUCGUCGUGAAGAGGGAAACAACCCAGACCGCCAGCUAAGGUCCCAAAGUCAUGGUUAAGUGGGAAACGAUGUGGGAAGGCACAGACAGCCAGGAUGUUGGCUUAGAAGCAGCCAUCAUUUAAAGAAAGCGUAAUAGCUCACUGGUCGAGUCGGCCUGCGCGGAAGAUGUAACGGGGCUAAACCAUGCACCGAAGCUGCGGCAGCGACACUUAGGUGUUGUUGGGUAGGGGAGCGUUCUGUAAGCCGUCGAAGGUGACCUGUGAGGGUUGCUGGAGGUAUCAGAAGUGCGAAUGCUGACAUAAGUAACGAUAAUGCGGGUGAAAAACCCGCACGCCGGAAGACCAAGGGUUCCUGUCCAACGUUAAUCGGGGCAGGGUGAGUCGACCCCUAAGGCGAGGCUGAAAAGCGUAGUCGAUGGGAAACAGGUUAAUAUUCCUGUACUCGGUGUUACUGCGAAGGGGGGACGGAGAAAGCUAGGUUAUCCGGGCGACGGUUGUCCCGGUUUAAGCGUGAAGGUGGAUGACUUUGGUAAAUCCGGGUCGUCAUUAACACUGAGGCGUGAUGACGAGUCACUACGGUGAUGAAGUAACCAAUGCUACGCUUCCAGGAAAAGCCUCUAAGCUCCAGGUAACAUCAAAUCGUACCCCAAACCGACACAGGUGGUCAGGUAGAGAAUACUCAGGCGCUUGAGAGAACUCGGGUGAAGGAACUAGGCAAAAUGGUGCCGUAACUUCGGGAGAAGGCACGCUGAUGGUAGGUGAAGUGACUUGCUCAUGGAGCUGAAAUCAGUCGAAGAUACCAGCUGGCUGCAACUGUUUAAUAAAAACACAGCACUGUGCAAACACGAAAGUGGACGUAUACGGUGUGACGCCUGCCCGGUGCCGGAAGGUUAAUUGAUGGGGUCAGCCGCAAGGCGAAGCUCUUGAUCGAAGCCCCGGUAAACGGCGGCCGUAACUAUAACGGUCCUAAGGUAGCGAAAUUCCUUGUCGGGUAAGUUCCGACCUGCACGAAUGGCGUAAUGAUGGCCAGGCUGUCUCCACCCGAGACUCAGUGAAAUUGAACUCGCUGUGAAGAUGCAGUGUACCCGCGGCAAGACGGAAAGACCCCGUGAACCUUUACUAUAGCUUGACACUGAACCUUGAGCCUUGAUGUGUAGGAUAGGUGGGAGGCUUUGAAGCGUGGACGCCAGUCUGCGUGGAGCCAACCUUGAAAUACCACCCUUUAAUGUUUGAUGUUCUAACGUGGGCCCGUGAUCCGGGUUGCGGACAGUGUCUGGUGGGUAGUUUGACUGGGGCGGUCUCCUCCCAAAGCGUAACGGAGGAGCACGAAGGUUAGCUAAUCCUGGUCGGACAUCAGGAGGUUAGUGCAAAGGCAUAAGCUAGCUUGACUGCGAGAGUGACAGCUCGAGCAGGUGCGAAAGCAGGUCUUAGUGAUCCGGUGGUUCUGAAUGGAAGGGCCAUCGCUCAACGGAUAAAAGGUACUCCGGGGAUAACAGGCUGAUACCGCCCAAGAGUUCAUAUCGACGGCGGUGUUUGGCACCUCGAUGUCGGCUCAUCACAUCCUGGGGCUGAAGUAGGUCCCAAGGGUAUGGCUGUUCGCCAUUUAAAGUGGUACGCGAGCUGGGUUUAGAACGUCGUGAGACAGUUCGGUCCCUAUCUGCCGUGGGCGUUGGAAGAUUGAGAGGGGUUGCUCCUAGUACGAGAGGACCGGAGUGAACGCACCACUGGUGUUCGGGUUGUGAUGCCAAUUGCAUUGCCCGGUAGCUAAGUGCGGAAGAGAUAACCGCUGAAAGCAUCUAAGCGGGAAACUUGCCUCGAGAUGAGUCUUCCCUGGGCACUAGAUGCCCCUGAAGGGCCGUUGAAGACUACGACGUAGAUAGGCUGGGUGUGUAAGCGUAGCGAUACGUUGAGCUAACCAGUACUAAUGACCCGAGAGGCUUAACCUUACAACACCGAAGGUGUUU